rnacentral:rRNA from 1 species
UGGGGAAUUUUGGACAAUGGGCGAAAGCCUGAUCCAGCCAUGCCGCGUGAGUGAAGAAGGCCUUCGGGUUGUAAAGCUCUUUUAGUCGGAAAGAAAGAGUUGCAAUGAAUAAUUGUGAUUUAUGACGGUACCGACAGAAAAAGCACCGGCUAACUACGUGCCAGCAGCCGCGGUAAUACGUAGGGUGCGAGCGUUAAUCGGAAUUACUGGGCGUAAAGGGUGCGCAGGCGGUCUUGCAAGUCAGAUGUGAAAGCCCCGGGCUUAACCUGGGAAUUGCGUUUGAAACUACAAGACUAGAGUGCAGCAGAGGGGAGUGGAAUUCCAUGUGUAGCAGUGAAAUGCGUAGAGAUGUGGAAGAACACCGAUGGCGAAGGCAGCUCCCUGGGUUGACACUGACGCUCAUGCACGAAAGCGUGGGGAGUAAACA